rnacentral:rRNA from 1 species
AGCUGCAGAAGAAGCACCGGCUAACUCCGUGCCAGCAGCCGCGGUAAUACGGAGGGUUGCGAGCGUUAAUCGGAAUUACUGGGCGUAAAGCGCAUGCAGGUGGUUUGUUAAGUCAGAUGUGAAAGCCCGGGGCUCAACCUCGGAAUUGCAUUUGAAACUGGCAAACUAGAGUACUGUAGAGGGGGUAGAAUUUCAGGUGUAGCGGUGAAAUGCGUAGAGAUCUGAAGGAAUACCGGUGGCGAAGGCGGCCCCCUGGACAGAUACUGACACUCAGAUGCGAAAGCGUGGGGAGCAAACAGGAUUAGAUACCCUGGUAG